GGGUCGGUAGCACAAUGGCAGGUGCACCUCUACGGCAUGGAGGAGAAGUCGGUUCGAUUCCGGCCCGACCCA
rfam:Streptomyces davawensis strain JCM 4913 complete genome